rnacentral:rRNA from 1 species
UACGUAUGGUGCAAGCGUUAUUCGGAUUUAUUGGGCGUAAAGGGUCCGUAGGUGGUUUGUUAAGUCAGGUGUGAAAUCCUACAGCUCAACUGUAGAACUGCACUUGAAACUGACGAACUUGAGUAUUGGAGAGGUAAGUGGAAUUCCAGGUGUAGCGGUGGAAUGCGUAGAUAUCUGGAGGAACACCAAAAGCGAAGGCAGCUUACUGGACAAUUACUGACACUGAGGGACGAAGGCGUGGGUAGCGAAAAGG